rnacentral:rRNA from 1 species
ACCUACGGGAGGCAGCAGUGAGGAAUAUUGGUCAAUGGACGCAAGCCUGAACCAGCCAUGUCGCGUGCAGGAAGACGGUCCUAUGAAUUGUAAACCGCUUUUGUCCGAGGGCAAAAGACGCCACGCGUAUCUGUCUGAGAGUAUCCUAAGAAAAAGCAUCGGCUAACUCCGUGCCAGCAGCCGCGGUAAUACGGAGGAUUCAAGCGUUAUCCGGAUUUAUUGGGUUUAAAGGGUGCGCAGGCGGAAGAUCAAGUCAGCGGUAAAAUUCCGAGGCUCAACCUCGGCGUGCCGUUUGA